GCAGCAGCCGCGGUAAUACGGAGGGUGCAAGCGUUAAUCGGAAUUACUGGGCGUAAAGCGCACGCAGGCGGUCUGACAAGUCAGAUGUGAAAUCCCCGGGCUUAACCUGGGAACUGCAUUUGAAACUGUCAGGCUGGAGUCUUGUAGAGGGGGGUGGAAUUCCAGGUGUAGCGGUGAAAUGCGUAGAGAUCUGGAGGAAUACCGGUGGCGAAGGCGGCCCCCUGGACAAAGACUGACGCUCAGGUGCGAAAGCGUGGGGAGCAAACAGGAUUAGAUACCCGGGUAGUCCCUGUCUCUUAUAC
rnacentral:rRNA from 1 species